UAAUUCUAGACCAAGAGUCACUCUUUCAUAUCACAGACUAAGUAUCUGUUAAAUUUGGCAUAUACAGUAAUGCAAUAGGCUAGGAAUAAUGAACAAAUUUGAUAUUGUAAAUAACAAUUUCUCUGUAAAAUCAGCCAAUAACUGUAAGAAAACUAACACAACCACCUCGAAUUACUCAACCAAACCAACAAAAAAUUACUGAAUGAGAAUUUGUUUUCCGGUCGAGCCUUAUUCUAUUUAAAGAUACAAACACAGAGGAAGUAUCCACAAAGCAUAGAAGGUUAAAUUGUUCGUUUGGAUUUACAUACAUUGAACUCAAAAUUCAAAAUGACUUACAAGCACUUAACUUUUGAAACAUGCACCUAGAAGGAAUUCCAUUUUGAACCAACUAGACUGCGAAAAGAACUUGAUGCUACUUCAGCAAUAUUGUUUUGACAAGGCCAUAUUUCUUGUAAUCCAAAUCAAUGCAAUACAUUGUCUCCAAUCCUUUUCUUUAGAUUUUUCUUCAAAUCACAGUUCAUUCAACUCUAACGAUAUCCUAAAAUUGUUUUUUUCUCGAAAAACAAAGAAACCCAUAAAUUUAAGUAAUAAGAUAGUAUUUAGUAGGUAGCACCGACACUUCAGAUUAAUGACGUGUCUAGUAUCUGACACAUGGCAAUGUCAGAUACCGACACAACAUCGACAUAUAUUGUUGCGUUCAAUCACUUUUUCAUUUUUUCAAAAAUAUAAUCGAUGUCAAUGUGCCAGUGUCGGUGCUUCAUAAGUAUCCCUCAUUAUUUGACAAUAGCCUUACUAUUUGACUUCGUUAGAGGAAACAUAAUAAAUUAUAGUUAGAUGAUCAGAUGCUUGAUGUGAUUAUCAGAGGCAUAUGCAAUCACUUUCUUGUCACGCUUAAUAGGGUCGGGUCGAAACAAGAUAUGCUUAAUGGGUAAAUCCCUUUGUAUCGUAAUAGGAUGAACGAGGAAAUAUUGUCUUAACUUUCAGGCAUCCAGUAUCAAUGCUAUCAUGACUUUCUCGAUUUUCUGAUAAAGGAUCUAUGGCCCUUGCAACGCUUUUGCUGACAAAAUAUAUUAGUUGUUGUUCUUUG
rnacentral:lncRNA from 1 species